CAGCCGCCGCGGGAACACGAAGGGGGCUAGCGUUGCUCGGAAUGACUGGGCGUAAAGCGCACGUAGGCGGAUAUUUAAGUCAGGGGUGAAAUCCCGCAGCACAACUGCGGAACUGCCUUUGAUACUGGACAUCUUGAGUAUGGGAGAGGUGAGUGGAACUCCGAGUGUAGAGGUGAAAUUCGUAGAUAUUCGGAAGAACACCAGUGGCGAAGGCGACUCACUGGCCCAUUACUGACGCUGAGGCGCGAAAGCGUGGGGAGCAAACAGGAUUAGAUACCCCCGUAGUCCCUGUCUCUUAUAA
rnacentral:rRNA from 1 species